GAUGAACGCUAGCGGGAGGCCUAACACAUGCAAGCCGAGCGGUAGAGUUUCUUCGGAAACUUGAGAGCGGCGCACGGGUGCGUAACACGUGUGCAACCUACCUUUAUCUGGGGGAUAGCCUUUCGAAAGGAAGAUUAAUACCCCAUAAUAUAAUGAUUGGCAUCAAUUAUUAUUGAAAACUCCGGUGGAUAGAGAUGGGCACGCGCAAGAUUAGAUAGUUGGUGAGGUAACGGCUCACCAAGUCAAUGAUCUUUAGGGGUCCUGAGAGGGAGAUCCCCCACACUGGUACUGAGACACGGACCAGACUCCUACGGGAGGCAGCAGUGAGGAAUAUUGGACAAUGGGUGAGAGCCUGAUCCAGCCAUCCCGCGUGAAGGAUGACGGUCCUAUGGAUUGUAAACUUCUUUUGUACAGGGAUAAACCUACCCUCGUGAGGGCAGCUGAAGGUACUGUACGAAUAAGCACCGGCUAACUCCGUG
rnacentral:rRNA from 1 species